AAGAAUAAUAGGCCGAGUUCCAUAUACGGAAGCGGAGGAACCACUUUUUGGGGUUAAUUCUGUCUUAGCAGAAGGGAUGUCUUAUCUCUUGCCAUCCUACCCGUCAGCUAACUUCGUAGGCCAAAGCAAGGGGUCGU
rnacentral:sRNA from 1 species